rnacentral:rRNA from 1 species
GAUGAACGCUGGCGGCGUGCCUAAUACAUGCAAGUCGAGCGAACAGACGAGGAGCUUGCUCCUCUGACGUUAGCGGCGGACGUGUGAGUAACACGUGGAUAACCUACCUAUAAGACUGGGAUAACUUCGGGAAACCGGAGCUAAUACCGGAUAAUCUAUUGAACCGCAUGGUUCAAUAGUGAAAGACGGUUUUGCUGUCACUUAUAGAUGGAUCCGCGCCGCAUUAGCUAGUUGGUAAGGUAACGGCUUACCAAGGCAACGAUGCGUAGCCGACCUGAGAGGGUGAUCGGCCACACUGGAACUGAGACACGGUCCAGACUCCUACGGGAGGCAGCAGUAGGGAAUCUUCCGCAAUGGGCGAAAGCCUGACGGAGCAACGCCGCGUGAGUGAUGAAGGUCUUCGGAUCGUAAAACUCUGUUAUUAGGGAAGAACAAAUGUGUAAGUAACUAUGCACGUCUUGACGGUACCUAAUCAGAAAGCCACGGCUAACUACGUG